UACAGAGGUCUCAAGCGUUGUUCGGAUUCAUUGGGCGUAAAGGGUGCGUAGGUGGCGCUGUAAGUCGGGUGUGAAAUUUCGGAGCUUAACUCCGAACUGCAUCGAUACUGCGGUGCUUGAGGACUGGAGAGGAGACUGGAAUUCAUGGUGUAGCAGUGAAAUGCGUAGAGAUCAUGAGGAAGACCAGUGGCGAAGGCGGGUCUCUGGACAGUUCCUGACACUGAGGCACGAAGGCCAGGGGAGCAAACGGG
rnacentral:rRNA from 1 species